UUGUUACUACUUACUUCCAUAGCCUCGGGAUAUUGUUGAAUGGAGGAAGAUAAGUUCAUAGGCUCGGGAUCCAUCUUUUGAUGAAAAAGAAAGGGAAUGGUGCAUAUCAAAGACCGAUAGUAGUGCAUAGCAUAUACAAAUUGGUGUUGAACACAUGGAGAUCCAAGACAUAGUCGACCCCAAGUCACCAACUUCUUGUCCUCCACAAACACCAUGUUGUGGGUUUUUGCUCAAGUCACUAUCCACUGAUGCGAGAGAGCUUGUGCCCUAGCUCUUCAAGUGUGUUCCUUGCCUCUGGGGUCUUGUUGUGAGCACUCUUUGG